GACGAACGCUGGCGGCGUGCCUAAUACAUGCAAGUUGAGCGCUGAAGGUUGGUACUUGUACCAACUGGAUGAGCAGCGAACGGGUGAGUAACGCGUGGGGAAUCUGCCUUUGAGCGGGGGACAACAUUUGGAAACGAAUGCUAAUACCGCAUAAAAACUUUAAACACAAGUUUUAAGUUUGAAAGAUGCAAUUGCAUCACUCAAAGAUGAUCCCGCGUUGUAUUAGCUAGUUGGUGAGGUAAAGGCUCACCAAGGCGAUGAUACAUAGCCGACCUGAGAGGGUGAUCGGCCACAUUGGGACUGAGACACGGCCCCAACUCCUACGGGAGGCAGCAGUAGGGAAUCUUCGGCCAUGGACGAAAGUCUGACCGAGCAACGCCGCGUGAGUGAAGAAGGUUUUCGGAUCGUAAAACUCUGUUGGUAGAGAAGAACGUUGGUGAGAGUGGAAAGCUCAUCAAGUGACGGUAACUACCCAGAAAGGGACGGCUAACUACGUG
rnacentral:rRNA from 1 species